ensembl:lncRNA
AAGCUGUUGCAUACAGUGUAGACACGGUGUAAGUGGCACAAUAAUAAUGUUAUUUUAUACGUAUGUUGUUCAGGGUGAAGUCCCUUGAAACUGCGGUAGAGCUGCUGGAAUCUGCAGACAUUCAGAUCAGACUAAUUUCUGAUCAGAUCAAACAGAUUAUUCAGCAACCUCUGAAUAUUAGAAACUUUGCCAUUGCUGAUCCCACAAAUCUACAUGAAGAAAUAAAGGUGAUUAUCCUCCAAAUUCUUCUUCGUGCUUGCAGAUACUUGUAGAUCUAAAUGUUUUUCUCACCUCAAAAUCAGCAAAUCGGACAACUGACACAGUUUUUUUUUUUCUGUUAAAAUGCCCAGCUUGUGCAUAUUUUACCUUUAAGAAAUGUUUGCUUACUCAUUCAAAGCAUACAUUAAAAUAUUUGCAUAAUGUACCUUACAUGGACUGAUGUACUUUGCAUGUUCAAACUGACUUCUCUGCUCUUUGUUCAGCGUCUAGAUGAAAGUAUCGAGAAGGAGCUGUUUCUGCUUAAGAGUGACGGUUCAGUUAGUGAUGCUGCUCAUCUGAGUCGCACUGAGCUCCAAGCUUUUCUUCCUCUGCAGCAAACGCUCCACAACCACACAAAAGGCUUGGACCAGCAAAGACAGUGUCUGAGAAAGAGUGAAUCAGCCCUGGUGGGCCUCGUGAACCUCCUGUCCCAUCUCCAGCAGGUGAAUGCCAAACUCAGUGCAGCUCACAAUGCAUCAGAUCACAGUUUAGUCUCCAUCCGGCAAAGUCUUCAGCAGGCCAGGGAUGAAUCGGUUCAGCUAGACCAAUUGCUGGAUGAUGCUGGUAUGAGAAUAACUCUGGAUGAUAAACCGGGCAGUUGUCAUGAGAUGGUUUCAGCUCUGGCUCUGCGUGUCGAAGAUGUCGAGGCCAGACUGGCUGUAAGGCUGAAGCAGUCUGACAGAGGAGGGAAAGGAAGAGUGGAGGGAGAACAGAGGGACAGAGCGUUCAGUAGGAAGAGGAUGGGCCUGCAGGUCACCCUGAGGGAGGUGCUGACAGCACUCGAAAAAAAUGGGCUGAAGGAGCCGACACUUCCUGCACUACAGCACAGGUUACGCUUCUUGACAGAAAUGGAGAGUAAACUGGUUGCACUACACUCAGAGAUUCAGGAUCUGAGAAAUACUUGUGCACAUACAAGCACCUUAGACAGAGGCAUCAGCGAGCUGCAGGCGCAAUGGGAAAAUGCACACAGAGCAGUCACAGAGAGGUGACGACAAACACACAUGAUUGUUGGAAAGCUCUUUGUGAAAUGCCAUUUUUCUGCACAUAUUGCAAAAUUGACCCACUGGUUUCAUGCUUCUGUUUCAGUCGUGAACAGUGUGUCUCUCUGACUGAACCACUGAAGAAGUUUCAGAGCUGCCGAAAUCACUUAGGCAGCACUUUGCAGAAAGCAGAGCAGACUAUUGGUGAUCAGGCCUCCUAUAUGGGCAAAGACAACCUGCAGCUCUUGAUCAGUAAGGUACAAAGUUACUGGAAAAAUUCCAUUCCUGGUGGACUGCAGAUGGCAGUAUUAACUGCAUCGUUUUAGAUCAUUUUUAAUACUGACUGCAGAUUGAUAUUUUUUUUAAAAAUGUAUGUAUAACAUAUUCACUACAUAAAUCUGGAGUCAGGAUGAGUAUGAAUAAAUGCAUGCCUAUUUAUAUUUUGUGUGUGCA